rnacentral:rRNA from 1 species
UACGGAGGGGGCUAGCGUUGUUCGGAAUUAUUGGGCGUAAAGCGCGUGUAGGCGGCUUGGCAAGUCGGGUGUGAAAGCCCUCAGCUCAACUGAGGAAGUGCGCCCGAAACUGCUGAGCUUGAGUGCCGGAGAGGGUGGCGGAAUUCCCCAAGUAGAGGUGAAAUUCGUAGAUAUGGGGAGGAACACCGGUGGCGAAGGCAGCUCGCUGGGACGGUACUGACGCUGAGACGCGAAAGCGUGGGGAGCAAACAGG